GGAACGCGCCCGUGAUUCCGGAGCAGUGGCGGCGUCGCCGGAGUCGGGAGCGAGCAGGCCUGCGAGCUGCUAGGGUGCUAGAGAAGCCGGGGGCUCGGUAAGCGGCGCGGGCCCUGCCGGGUCCUCGAACCUGGCCGACCUCUGCGGGUCCGCCCUACUAGGCCUGGACGCAGAGGCGGCCCUGGGGGCGGGGCCUGAGUGUGCCGCGGCGACACGGGUGACAGAGCAAGGGGAGGGCUGCGGUUGCUGGGGCCGCUUGCUGUGGGAGGGUCGGGCCUGGGACCUCAGAGUCCGCCUCGCUGCCUUCGAUCGCCCGCUACCGGCUGGGUCCGGCCUCUCGGAGGUCCCGCUGGGGCCUCGGGGACGCCGAGGCGCUGACCUUUGACCCCAGCGCGGGGCUGACCCCGAGCCGGUCGGCUCCUGGUGGAAAGCUGCGCCUCGGACGGGAGGUGGCCGGUCCCCGUGAAGUGUUCAGAUGCCGGGUCCUGCGCUCUUCCGUUUUUAGCACCCACUUUUUGCAGAGUUAAUAAACCCACUGCGCUUUCAUGCGAGGAGUGUGUGCCAGCCAGGAAACCCACCCCUUCCCUCGUACGGUGAAGAAUGAUAGUCACUGGGGAAGUUGUCCCUGGCUAAUGGGACAGUGGAUAUACUUCAGCCAUGUCCUAAUAAAAUGUUGCGGGACUAUCGGAACCUCCCCAACUUUUCUUUCUAGAAAAAGUUUUAAACUUAAGUGCAUUUUCCUUGAAAAUAGGGCAAGCAUGGUGUUUAAACAUGGCUAGUGUUAGAGCCAUCAUAUGUGUAGCCUUAGGGCCCCUGGCCGGUUCAGAACUAGCUAUGUAGACCAGGCUAACCUCGAACUUGUAGCGAUCCUUCUGAUUCUCCCUCCCAAAUGCUGUGAUUUCAGUGUACCUCACCAAGCUAGGCUUAUCUCCUGCCCAUGAUUUAGGACAGAGUGACUUGAAAUCUUCUUUGGUAUGUUUUUGACUGAAUGUUGUAUGUAUGGUCGUUUCCAUGGAAACGCUUUCAAGAUAGCAGAUCUAAGAAAGGUUUUGAUAACUUCUCUUCCAAUAGUUAAGGAAGUCAUUCUUUUCUUAAUGAAUUAGCAAGCCUUUAAUGUGUUCUUAUUAUGACAGUCAUUGUACCUUGUCAUGUUUACAUUUUUUUGCCUCCCAAGACAGGGUUUCUCUGUGUAGCCCUUGCUGUUAACUCUCUUUGUAGACCAAACUGGCCUCCAACUUAGACCUGCCUGAAAUACACAUUGAGUUCAAGGCCAGCCUGAACAGCUUAGCGCGGGCUCACACACACACACACACACACACACAAUAAAAACAAAACCCAAAAAACUAAAACCAAAACCCACC
rnacentral:lncRNA from 1 species